CGUACACUCCUGCGGGAGGCAGCAGUGGGGAAUAUUGCACAAUGGGCGCAAGCCUGAUGCAGCCAUGCCGCGUGUGUGAAGAAGGCCUUCGGGUUGUAAAGCACUUUCAGCGGGGAGGAAGGCGAUACGGUUAAUAACCGUGUUGAUUGACGUUACCCGCAGAAGAAGCACCGGCUAACUCCGUGCCAGCAGUCGCGGUAAUACGGAGGGUGCAAGCGUUAAUCGGAAUUACUGGGCGUAAAGCGCACGCAGGCGGUCUGUCAAGUCGGAUGUGAAAUCCCCGGGCUCAACCUGGGAACUGCAUUCGAAACUGGCAGGCUUGAGUCUUGUAGAGGGGGGUAGAAUUCCAGGUGUAGCGGUGAAAUGCGUAGAGAUCUGGAGGAAUACCGGUGGCGAAGGCGGCCCCCUGGACAAAGACUGACGCUCAGGUGCGAAAGCGUGGGGAGCAAACAGGAUUAGAAACCCGAGUAGUCCC
rnacentral:rRNA from 1 species